rnacentral:rRNA from 1 species
GAGCGGCGGACGGGUGACUAAUGUCUGGCAACUGCCUGAUGGAGGGGGAUAACUACUGGAAACGGUAGCUAAUACCGCAUAACGUCACAAGACCAAAGAGGGGGACCUUCGGGCCUCUUGCCAUCAGAUGUGCCCAGAUGGGAUUAGCUAGUAGGUGGGGUAAUGGCUCACCUAGGCGACGAUCCCUAGCUGGUCUGAGAGGAUGACCAGCCACACUGGAACUGAGACACGGUCCAGACUCCUACGGGAGGCAGCAGUGGGGAAUAUUGCACAAUGGGCGCAAGCCUGAUGCAGCCAUGCCGCGUGUGUGAAGAAGGCCUUCGGGUUGUAAAGCACUUUCAGCGAGGAGGAAGGUGGUGAACUUAAUACGUUCAUCAAUUGACGUUACUCGCAGAAGAAGCACCGGCUAACUCCGUGCCAGCAGCCGCGGUAAUACGGAGGGUGCAAGCGUUAAUCGGAAUUACUGGGCGUAAAGCGCACGCAGGCGGUUUGUUAAGUCAUAUGUGAAAUCCCCGGGCUCAACCUGGGAACUGCAUUUGAAACUGGCAAGCUAGAGUCUCGUAGAGGGGGGUAGAAUUCCAGGUGUAGCGGUGAAAUGCGUAGAGAUCUGGAGGAAUACCGGUGGCGAAUGCGGCCCCCUGGACUAAGACUGACGCUCAAGUGCGAAAGCGUGGGGGAGCAAACAGGAUUAGAUACCCUGGGUAGCCCACGCUGUAAACUAUGUCGAUUUGGAGGUUGUGC